CUGAGUUCACCGAAGGUUGUGAUAAUGAACACACAAAUAUGAAAUACAGAGCACCUAGGAAUUCUCAGAGGUGGACCCUUGGAGCUGUGCAGAUGUGGAAGACCACUGCCCCUUUCCAGCUGUGGACCUACAAGCAGCUCACAGACGAUCUUCCUGUCAGCAACCCACCAUGACAGCUAUGCUCAGUGAAUGAGAACUCUGCAACGGACCAUCCUCAGGGUGAAACUCUGAUGGGCUGGAGCAGUGUGUUCUCCAAGGAAAGUCCUAGCUGGUGUAUUUCUCUACCACCAUAGAUCAGCAGAAGACAGAGCUUCUUUACCUUUAGGACUCCAGUAUCCUUCUCUUUGUGCAAGGCUUCUCUCAAUACAA